AGAUUGAACGCUGGCGGCAUGCCUAACACAUGCAAGUCGAACGGGAGUAGCAAUACUCUAGUGGCGGACGGGUGAGGAAUACGUAGGAAUUUGCCCUUAAGUGGGGGAUAACCCGGGGAAACCCGGAUUAAUACCGCAUGACCUCGAAAGAGCAAAGUGGGGGAUCGCAAGACCUCACGCUUUUGGAGAAGCCUACGUCGGAUUAGCUAGUUGGUGAGGUAAUGGCUCACCAAGGCGACGAUCCGUAACUGGUCUGAGAGGAUGAUCAGUCACACCGGAACUGAGACACGGUCCGGACUCCUAGGGAGGCAGCAGUGGGGAAUAUUGGACAAUGGGCGCAAGCCCUGAUACCAGCAAUGACCGCGUGUGUGAAGGAACGCCUUACGGUUAGUAAAGACGUACGUUUAAGUUAGGGAAGAAAAACGUACGCUACUAAC
rnacentral:rRNA from 1 species